GCCUUCGUGGUGUAGUGGUCAUCACACUCCAGGCGUAACCCAGAGGUCCGUGGUUCGAUUCCCGGCGAAGGCG
rnacentral:tRNA from 1 species